AUGGAGGGCCAAGUGCAGCAGUUUGUGACCCUUCGCUUCGGUGACCUUUGGCUUGAUGUGCCAAUUGGUCCUAUUGUGACCUCACUAAGUGAAAGUUGGAAGACUACGGUUGCAUCUCCAGUUGCACCAGAUCAAGAAGAAGUCACUUCUCCACCAAUGGAGGGGUUCACACCUGUUUUGUCAAAGUCUGCAAAGAGGAAAAUGAGGGCUGCUAGAAAGAGGGUUGCUCAGAGUUCUGCAAGAGGGGUUACUCAUGCUCCAGUGUCAGUAAUGAAAGGAAAGAUUGUUGAAGUAGGACCAUCCGUCCGCCAGCAGUCCAAGGACAAGGGAAAGAAAGUGGUGUUUGAGAAAUCCGAGUUUCGGCCACUUGUUUACAAAGGAAAAGAGAAAAUCAUGGAGACACCCAACUCCAAGCUACCUGGGAAUAGAGGCGGCGUUGUGGUCAUACUGCCGUCAGCGUCGUCUUCAACAGGAAGGCCCACCAACGCUCAGAAUAUACUUCGAGCUGAUGCUCCAGAGUUUGUCCCCUCACUGACCCAUAAACCUACACCAUCAGUUCCUCUGUUUGAAGAAGCACCCAUCUUACGAGACUCCUUUGAAGGUUCGUUUGAUCCAGUGCGACAACAACAGCGACAGAGAAAUGACCAUCGAUCUUGGAUUGAUCUUCCAGCUGCCAUAGAUCACGAUGCGGCGAGCCGACAUCAUUCUCAUGUGAGCAAGUCUGUCAAGGGGAGAUGGAAAAACACUCAUCCAAAGAUCCAAGUUCAGAAUCCAGAUGACUCGUCACAACUUCCCGAUGCAUCCACAUCACAAAACGAUGAGGGUGGUGCCAUCAUGCGACUAGCAGAGGCCCUGGCCCAACGACCUGAGUACCAAGAGUUCAUUCAGCAACAUCCCGAACAUCAAGAAAGGGAGGCGUACAAAGAAAGAGAAAGGGCAGUACGGGCCAGGUCUGGGUCAAGCAGAGUCCAAGGGGCAGAACACGCUUCAUCAGAUGAGGAUAGUCAGGCUAAAGUAAACAAUUGGCUAUCAAAUCCAUCAAAUGAGGUGGCCACGAGCUUUUCUCCAUGGCCCUCUCAUAAGAAAACCAAGAACAAAUCAUCUGAAGUGUUCCAAGCAAUGCCAAUUGGUGUCAGGGCGGCGUCGGACAAGACCAACGAAACAUCCUCCACAUCAACACAUUUCAAGAGGAAGAAGGCACGCAAAACUGUCGUAGAAGGUCCUCGUCGUAAGACACGAAGCCAAAAAGGUUUAGAUUAUGAAGAACUCGGGUCCAACUGUGGUGGGUCUUAG
rnacentral:rRNA from 1 species